CCAUUUUUCCCAUCAAAACCCUGUGAACACUAGCUCAAAAUAAAUAAUUCAGGAUCAUUUGAGGGCUAUCUUAGCCAAAUCCGUCAUUGUACGAACUCAAACAAUGACUUUUCACCCAUUUCAAUUUUUGAUUUUAUUCUCUCAAUUCUGUAUUAAUCUCAGCUAUCAAGGAGUUUCCUAGCUAUUUCCUUUUGAAAUUUUUCCCACAUCAGUUCUAACGCAAUUUGCAAAUUCUACUUUAUCCCAUAUCGGUGGAAUGCACAAACAUCAUCCGAUUUCACACCAUAUAAACCACACUACUCCUUUGUUAAAAGGCAAAAACCCUAAUAGAAGGAAUUUCGCUCGAGAAGACAAAGUUUUUUCAACCCCAAACGAGAUAGAAUUCCUUUUACUCGGAUAGAAUUUUGGACUUUAGUCCCCAGCCAUAGCGUUGUGAAAAUUCUUGCUCAAGUUCCAUUUUUUGCUUUUCUUGCAUCAAGGAUAGUGGUAGAGUUGUCAUCUAUUUGUCAUCCCCGUUUAUUGCCCCAAUAAAGUGAGAUAUUAUUUUGGGAUCAUGGAGCAAAGACGAGCGGUUCAUGGAAGGUUUGGGAGUACGAUUCAACAUUGAGUGGAAGCCAAGAUGCAAGAGAACCAACAAGGACGAAAGCAAAAGAGUUAAAAUCUAAAGCAAAUAGAAAAGAAGUGUGGCUGAAGACAUUCCUGAUAAGUCAUCAACCUUGUGAUAAGCUAUUAGAGUUGCCAUCAACCUUAAACAGAGAAUGGACCCCAGUUGAAAGUUGUGACAAUAUUUGGUGAUAGGCCGUCAUAAGUGUGAUAAGACAUCAGGUUUGUUGUUAGCCUAAGGUAGAACAUGAGAGCUGAAGUGAAUAAUUAAUGAUAUCUAUGAUAAGUCAUCAAAGAGCUGAUAAGUCCUUAGGUUUCAUCGUCAGCCUUAAGCAGGAAGUGCUAAAACUGAAGAAGGAGCUGACGACAUUUAUGAUAAGUCGUCAGACUCCUGAUAAGGUCUCACGAAUGUUGUCAUCUAAUCCGAGAAAUUGCUGAACUCUGUGAUUUUAUUUCCAUAAUUAGGGUGAACUAUUUAAAGCAUAGUUUAGGGUUUUCUAAAGGAUUCCUGUAACGACCCGAUUUGCUGAACUGGAAUGCUACA